AUUGAACGCUGGCGGCAGGCCUAACACAUGCAAGUCGAGCGGGAACAGUCCUUCGGGAGCUGACGAGCGGCGGACGGGUGAGUAGAGCUUGGGAAUCUGCCUGACAGUGGGGGAUAACGUUCGGAAACGGGCGCUAAUACCGCAUACGUCCUGAGGGAGAAAGCAGGGGAGCCACUUGUGGCCCUUGCGCUGACAGAUGAGCCCAAGCCGGAUUAGCUGGUUGGUGAGGUAAAGGCUCACCAAGGCGACGAUCCGUAGCUGGUCUGAGAGGAUGAUCAGCCACACUGGGACUGAGACACGGCCCAGACUCCUACGGGAGGCAGCAGUGGGGAAUAUUGGACAAUGGGGGCAACCCUGAUCCAGCCAUGCCGCGUGUGUGAAGAAGGUCUUCGGAUUGUAAAGCUCUUUAAGUCAGGAGGAAGGCGCUUGGGUUAAUACCCUAAGUGAUGACGUA
rnacentral:rRNA from 1 species